ensembl:snRNA LOC120094028 U2 spliceosomal RNA
AUUACUUCUUGGCCUUUUAGCUAAGGUCCAGUAUAGUAUCUGCAUCAGUUUAAUAACUGAUAGUCCUUUAACUGAGGACAAUAUAUUAAAUGGAUUUUUGAAACAGAGAGAUGAAUAUACUUUCUCCAUCCACUGCAUACACUGACCUCUCAGAGGUAUUCUA